rnacentral:lncRNA from 1 species
UAAGAGAAAGGAUGUAGAAGACAUUAUUUGUAGUGUAUAAGUUAGUUUGUUUUAAUUGAUUUUAAUACCAAAACUCAUUUUUUUAUAACACAAAUCAUCAGGUGAUUAGGAAAGCAUGAGUAUAUAUGGGUAUAGCCACUUUAUUAUGCAGGAUAGAAGAUAUUUUUUUAAAGCAUAUAUAGGUUUGGGUAAGAAAGAGUAGGGUAAGACAAGACUCCAUCCAAAAUUUGUGGAUCUUGGUUCAUCUUGGUGACCUCACUUGAUCCUUGAAGACUUGAGUUGGUGCUCAUUCUCCCUUGAUGAAGUUGAUCAUCUUCUUCGGUCUUGUCUCAUUGAUUAAGAGUUAGUGUAUAUUAUCGGGCUGGGGAAUAUGGUUAAGAUAGAUAUGGAUGAGAUAGACUACGUGAUGUAGAUUAAAAUUUGUGUGAUGUUAGGUGGGGAUAGGCAGAUCAUGCAAUCCAUCAAGACUCUAUUGGUUGGGUUGGUUUCUCAUUCUUUAUUUAGUGUAGGGUGAACUAAGUUAAAACAUGUGGAGAGGGUCUAAUCUAUUUCACCAGUAUUAAUUAUCAUAUUUAAGUAGCCACACUAGAUUAGAUCAUAUGAGAUUAGAUGGGAUCUAGAUUAGAUUGGAUAUGGCUAGAUGAGACUAGUUAAAGUUAGAUAGAUCUUCCUGGGUAGGAUAUAUUUUAUCAGGAUAUGUUAAAAAUCUCUGUUAGGUUAAAACAGAGGGGUUAUGCAACUAUCUGAUGGGUAAGGUAGUUGCAUAUGGUUAGGUGGUUGUAUAUGGUAAAGUUAGUCUAGGGCACCAAUUUUAGGUUAGAUUGGUAUAACUAGAUUAGACUAGAUAGGAUCUCAUAAAUUUUAAUUAGAUCAUGGUUGUUAUUCUUAGAGUGGGAUAAAUAUUCAAUUUAGGGCAAGAUGAAUCCAUAAGAUAAGAUAGAAUCUUUCGAGGUCAGUUAGGUCUAUUAGGAUGAGAUAAAAUCUUUUCAAGAUAAGAUGAGUAUCUUUUAAGAUGAGAUGGAUCUAUUAAGGUAAGGAAGAAUCUUUUAAGAUAAGAUGAAUUGGUUAGAAUGAGAGCUUUUAUGAUAAGAUAAAUCUCUUAAGCUAGAUAUGUUCCAAUGGGGAUAAUCUAGGUUGUCUAGUUAUUUUGUAAAUAUAUUUUUAUACCUAUGUGUAUAUGCAGAUGCAAUUGUGGACAUUACUCCACAACCCAUCACACUCAAUCAAAGAUCCAAAUCAAACAAGUAUCAUAAUAACAAACAUUCAAAUACAUAGACACUUAUAAAAAUAGUUUUGUUUUUGUUCCUAGGAUUAGGUCUCCUAUUCCUAAAGUCACUUUAGGCACAGGAUUUCAUAGUGUGAAAUCCACAUUUGUUCUUAGAAAGAUAAAGGUAAGAAUAAUCAGAGUAAAGCGGAAAUAGAUGAGAAAGGAUUAAGAAAAGUUUAGAAAAGAAUCAGAGUAGCAAAGGUAAGUAGAUAAUGGUUGUCCAGUUCUAUCUAGGUUUCGUCCUACAGUCAACAUUCCUCUGAUACCACUUCUGUAACACCCGGAUUUUAGGGGUCCAAAACCCGGGGUUAACAUAAACACCAGGUAUGCUGGGACCAAGUCUCAAACAUAUGAUGUAUAGUGGCACAGGAUCGAAUGUCACAACUUUAUAUAUAACAGGAGUUCUAUACAAAUAAAUAGUUACAUUAUAAGGAGACAACAGUCCAGCAACCCAAAGUUGACUGGGAGACGACGACCUAGACCUCUCACGAACUCAUCACCGCAUCCUCCAUGAGCAUCAUCCUGCAGUACCUGGUCUUGACCUGUGGUGUAUGUGAGACAGCAAGAGUGAGCUCACAUACGUUCAUCGCUCAGCAAGUUGUGGGGAAUAAUGUGCAUGAACUCGCCAAAGGUGGGAGCUCACGUGAAGUGUAAGGCUUACCAAAGAAGAUGGUUAGAGCUGAGCAUUGCUUUUAAAGUUGGUCAAAAUUUUAUUAGCAGUUACUAAGUAUAAGUAAAUACCAACCCAGUUAAAUAGUAGAACCAAAGUAACCACAUCACCUGCAAUGCAAUGCAUAUGACAAAUUGAGUUUAGUUCCAUAAAUUAAUCAUGUGAGUGUCCGAGCCGCUCAUGACCGUGAGCACGGCUAGUAUACCAGUUUUACACUCUGCAGAGGUUGCGCAUCUUUACCCACAAGUCGUGUAUCCCAUGUCGCCAGGGUUUGCAAGGCCCUAAGACACUUCCGAGGUGAAUGGCUAGGGAUCCACUACGAGGCCUUUACAAAGUUCCACUAGCUUCCGAAAACCCGCUACAGUUUAUAGGAAGAUCCAGUACAGGAAUCCCUUGCAGGACCGCCAUCGCAGCAAAAUCCUCCCGAGGGCACUUCCCGCACUGACCUCUCCCCUACUGCCCUUGCCCCUUUCGGGUAAGGUAGUCUUCCACUAGCUUUCCUAAUUAAUCAGCCAAGGGCGUCCCAUUAAACCCUUGUGGUAGCACUGUUUUCCCGGGUGGUUCUCCAUGUUCCAAUUAACAUAAUGAUCUUAACAUGAACCAUAAAUAACAACUGAUAACAAAAGUAUAAUCAUGAAUAGUGUAAUCUUCAUACCCAAAACCACAUAUAGCACUAGCAAGUACUACCCAGAAAGUUCAGUGGUAAACAAGGUAUAAAGAUAGACAAACUAGGGUAACCUAUUGGGUCCCAUCAAAAUUAACCUAUGCAGAUCAUUAUGAUUAAUUAGAACAUGAGUAGGUAAAAAGAAGUGAUCAAGGGCACAACUUGCCUGGGCCUUGAGAUUCCAGGUACCAGGAUGAUCUUCAGGUGAUACGUAUCCUCACUGCUAGUCGUAGCAAUUCAAACAAACAUGGUAUAGGCAAAAUUAACAUUACACCAAACAUAAGAACAAAAUACAUAUUAUUAAUUUACAUAUUAAAAUAAGAUCAUAGGAACAGGAAUCAUUAAUUUUGGAGUUGUAGAAUUCAACUUAUGAAUUACCUAAGAUUUUAGGUGAUUAUAAUAUGAUUAAAUGAUAAAUAAAUUUUCUGGCAGAGUUCAUGUCAAAACAGUGAUUCUAAAUGGUAGAGAAUAUUAUUACAAAAUUUUUGGAAUUGGAAUGACUCAAUUUGGAGCUAAAAUGAAUUAGUUAUGAAUUAAUUAAGUUUCUGGAUUUAUUUUAACACUAAAAAUCAUUUUCUAAAUCAUUUUCUAUGAUUUUAUAACUCUCUGGACUGGUCCUCAUUUUCAGAAAACCGCAGGGGGCUUGGCGCAAAUAAACCUAAGACUCAGGCUACACCCGCACAGGACGGCGGGUUGAUUUGACCAAAGCCCGAGGGCUCUUUAGCAAAUAGCACCCGCGAAGAGGUAAGAUCUAAUGUGAGCCGCACGAUCUAAAGUCUAUGGCCUAGAUUAGAUCGCCUAAAACCGAACCGGUAUGCAGCCAUAGUCCCAGGAUCUGAAUCCGACGGUCACGUUUUAAUGAACCCGCGAUCGGAUUUCUACCGUAUAUCGCGAGAUCAACGGUCCGAGUUCUUCCUAGCUGAAGAGGUAGCUACCAUCUAAUCUUGGCCGCCCAUCAUCAGAUCAACGGCCACGGCGCAUCCGCACCCCUGACGGCUACCCACGGCGGCGAGAAUCCACCAAAUCCCCCCCCCCACGGCGGCGCUAAGGACGGCGUGGUGAAAUUCGGCCCGACCAGGGCCCCUCCGUUCGAUUAACUGACAUAGAACAACAAUUGAACCGAGGCGAACACGGUGAGGUGAGUUACCGGGUAGAUAGACCACUGGCGGAGGCAGGCCACGGCGGAGGGCGGAAAUACCCGAAGUCGAGACUCCGGUGAGGAAUUCGUCGUGCACCGGUCACCAAUUCCGCACGUGGAGGCCCCGGUUAUGUUCGCCGCACCCAGAUGAGCUGCCAAGACUUCACAAUGACUCGUAGACGACGGUGGCCAAGCGAUUCAAGGGUGGCGGCCGAAAACCUUCCGCAAGCGUAGCAACGGCGCACGGCAAUCGGUGCAAGCGGAUGAGGAGGGAAGGAGGAGGCCGCGGCACGAUGCUUUUAUACCCGGGAGAGCACGGAAUCGCUGUACCGGCUAACGGAGCCGCUGCCGAGAUUCACGCGCGCGCGAUCGGCGAGGUUUGUUGAAGACGAACCCGACAAGCGGGCCCCGCGGAUCAGCGAAAGAAGCAGGGAGGAGUGAGCGCGGUCGUGGGAGGCCGACGAGUGGGGUCCGCGAGACAGUGACCAGGCGUGCGCGUGAGAGGCUGGGCAGGGGGCCCCACCUGUCGGCGCCGUGGGGAAGGUUAAUGGGCCGCGCGAAGGAAAUUCAAAGUUGGGCCGAGAUGGGUAGAGGUCGGCCCAUGUGGCUUUUAUUCUUUUUUUUCUUUUUAUUUUCUAUUUUCUUUUCUCCAUUUUCAAAUCCAAUUUUGAGUUCAAGUUUAAAUUCAAACUUUGUGAAUAACUUGUCCUCAGUUUGAAUGGUAUAAUUUAAUAAUAUAAGUGUGAAGGAUGUUUAUUCUGAUUUUUAUUUUAUUUUAUGUAGUAUUUUCUUUAGUUCUUCCCUUCCCAUUUAUUUUCUAUUUUCUAUUCCAAAUUCAAAUUUAUACUUCUAUUUUAGUUUUCAGAUUUUCAAAUAUAUCAAUUGGAAUCCAAAGGUGAAUAUAAACCAAAUUAUUUUAUUAUUACUAGUUUAAGUUUUAUUCUCCUUGUUUAUUUAUUUCAUGAAAUGUAUAAAUGGUUUUAAAAAAAAUUCUUUUUCUCCUCAUUUUCUUAUUUCCCAAUGAUACUUUGUUCAGAUUUCUUCUACCAAUUCCAAAUUCAGAAUUUGGGUGUUACAAAUCCUACCCCCCUUAAAAAUAAUCUCGUCCUCGAGAUUUGUAAGAGAAAGGAUGUAGAAGACAUUAUUUGUAGUGUAUAAGUUAGUUUGUUUUAAUUGAUUUUAAUACCAAAACUCAUUUUUUUAUAACACAAAUCAUCAGGUGAUUAGGAAAGCAUGAGUAUAUAUGGGUAUAGCCACUUUAUUAUGCAGGAUAGAAGAUAUUUUUUUAAAGCAUAUAUAGGUUUGGGUAAGAAAGAGUAGGGUAAGACAAGACUCCAUCCAAAAUUUGUGGAUCUUGGUUCAUCUUGGUGACCUCACUUGAUCCUUGAAGACUUGAGUUGGUGCUCAUUCUCCCUUGAUGAAGUUGAUCAUCUUCUUCGGUCUUGUCUCAUUGAUUAAGAGUUAGUGUAUAUUAUCGGGCUGGGGAAUAUGGUUAAGAUAGAUAUGGAUGAGAUAGACUACGUGAUGUAGAUUAAAAUUUGUGUGAUGUUAGGUGGGGAUAGGCAGAUCAUGCAAUCCAUCAAGACUCUAUUGGUUGGGUUGGUUUCUCAUUCUUUAUUUAGUGUAGGGUGAACUAAGUU